rnacentral:rRNA from 1 species
AGGACAGGUGGCUGCAUGGCGUGUCGUCAGCUCGUGUCGUGAGAUGUUGGGUUAAGUCCCGCAACGAGCGCAACCCUUGCCUUUAGUUGCCAGCAGUUCGGCUGGGCACUCUAAAGGGACUGCCGGUGUUAAACCGGAGGAAGGUGGGGAUGACGUCAAGUCCUCAUGGCCUUUAUGACCAGGGCUACACACGUACUACAAUGGCCGAUACAAAGGGCAGCGACACUGCGAGGUGAAGCCAAUCCCGUAAAAUCGGUCUCAGUCCGGAUUGGAGUCUGCAACUCGACUCCAUGAAGUUGGAAUCGCUAGUAAUCGUGGAUCAGCAUGCCACGGUGAAUACGUUCCCGGGCCUU